GAUGAACGCUGGCGGCGUGCCUAAUACAUGCAAGUCGAGCGAACAGACGAGAGUGCUUGCACUCUCUGACGUUAGCGGCGGACGGGUGAGUAACACGUGGGUAACCUACCUAUAAGACUGGGAUAACUUCGGGAAACCGGAGCUAAUACCGGAUAAUAUUUAGCUUCGCAUGAAGCAAUAGUGAAAGACGGUUCUGCUGUCACUUAUAGAUGGACCCGCGGUGUAUUAGCUAGUUGGUGAGGUAACGGCUCACCAAGGCAACGAUACAUAGCCGACCUGAGAGGGUGAUCGGCCACACUGGGACUGAGACACGGCCCAGACUCCUACGGGAGGCAGCAGUAGGGGAUCUUCCGCAAUGGACGAAAGUCUGACGGAGCAAUGCCGCGUGAGUGAAGAAGGUUUUCGGAUCGUAAAACUCUGUUGUAAGGGAAGAACAAGUACGUUAGUAACUGAACGUACCUUGACGGUACCUUACCAGAAAGCCACGGCUAACUACGUG
rnacentral:rRNA from 1 species